rnacentral:rRNA from 1 species
AUGAACGCUGGCGGCGUGCCUAAUACAUGCAAGUCGAGCGAACGGACGAGAAGCUUGCUUCUCUGAUGUUAGCGGCGGACGGGUGAGUAACACGUGGAUAACCUACCUAUAAGACUGGGAUAACUUCGGGAAACCGUAGCUAAUACCGGAUAAUAUUUUGAACCGCAUGGUUCAAAAGUGAAAGACGGUCUUGCUGUCACUUAUAGAUGGAUCCGCGCUGCAUUAGCUAGUUGGUAAGGUAACGGCGUACCAAGGCAACGAUGCAUAGCCGACCUGAGAGGGUGAUCGGCCACACUGGAACUGAGACACGGUCCAGACUCCUACGGGAGGCAGCAGUAGGGAAUCUUACGCAAUGGGCGAAAGCCUGACGGAGCAACGCCGCGUGAGUGAUGAAGGUCUUCGGAUCGUAAAACUCUGUUAUUAGGGAAGAACAUAUGUGUAAGUAACUGUGCACAUCUUGACGGUACCUAAUCAGAAAGCAACGGCUAACUACGUG